CGCACCUUGCGCUCCUUGGUAUUCCGAGGAGCAUGCCUGUUUGAGUGUCAUGAAAUUAUCCACUUCUGAAACUUUUGUGGCAGAAGCUGGGAUUUGGAGGUCGUGUUGGCUUGCAAAAGCCAACUCCUCUGAAAUGUAUUAGCGUGAACUUUACGGAUCGCCUUCAGUGUGAUAAUUAUCUGCGCUGUGGUGUGAAGUAUUUAGUGUUCUUGCUUCUAACUGUCCGCAAGGACAAACAAACUUGAUCAUCUGGCCUCAAAUCAGGUAGGACUACCCGCUGAACUUAA
rnacentral:misc_RNA from 1 species